rnacentral:rRNA from 1 species
AGGAUGAACGCUGGCGGCGUGCCUAACACAUGCAAGUCGAACGUCCUGUCUCGCAAGAGGCAGGGAGUGGCGGACGGGUGAGUACCACGUGGGUCAUCUACCGUGAGGUGAGGAAUACCGGCGAGAAAUCGCCGACAAGACCGCAUAGCCUCGGUGCAAGCCGAGGAAAGCUCUUUCGAGAGAGGGAGCGCCACACGAGGAGCCUGCGCCCGAUUAGCUAGCUGGUGGAGUAACGGUUCACCAGGGCGACGAUCGGUAGCUGGUCUGAGAGGACGAUCAGCCACACUGGGAUUGAGAACGGCCCAGACUCCUACGGGGGGCAGCAGUGAGGAAUUUUCGUCAAUGGGGGCAACCCUGAACGAGCAACGCCGCGUGCAGGAAGAAGGUUUUCGGAUCGUAAACUGCUUUUCGUCGGGGAAGAGAACGGACGGUACCCGAGGAAUCGACGCCCCGGCUAACGUACGUGCCAGCAGCCGCGGUAA